UACGUAGGCAGCGAGCGUUGUUCGGAAUUACUGGGCGUAAAGAGUGUGUAGGCGGUGCUCUAAGUUCGGUGUGAAAUCUCCUGGCUCAACUGGGGAGGGUGCGCCGGAAACUGGAGUGCUUGAGCGUGGGAGAGGAAAGCGGAAUUCCUGGUGUAGCGGUGAAAUGCGUAGAUAUCAGGGAGGGAACACCUGUGGUGUAGACGGCUUCUGGACCAUAGCUGACGCUGAGACACGAAAGCGUGGGUAGCAA
rnacentral:rRNA from 1 species